AGCACGAAUGCAAUUACUAGAGGUAUAGCAAUAGCAAGGACCACACCAAUGACAUUUUUGUUCUUUCCUGCAUUGAUAAAUGACCACUUUCAUCUGCAUUUCCAAAUCAACAUGACAUAUUGAUGAUAACAAGACGUGGAGCUGUUGGUUAAGACAUACAUCGCAUUAGUGCAGCUUUGUUGUAUGUUACAAAUGUUUGUGGCAUCUAUGGAAAUUGAGGUCAGUCAUAUUGUGGGAAAGCUUUUAUUAAUAUUUACUCUAUAAACCCUAUGAUUCUUGUCUGUUAGGCAUUGACUAAAGCGUAUCAGGUAAAUGGAUGGAGUUUGGAUCCUUCGUGGUGAAUGUUUGACACACCACAGAGGGCUGUAUGGUACUCAAUCAUUGCCACUUCAUCUGAUUGUGUAGAUGGACGGCUGUCAAACAUGGCAGCGUGUUGCAUGCCAAAUAUUGUACAUCGCUGUUG
rnacentral:lncRNA from 1 species